AGAGUUUGAUUAUGGCUCAGGCUGUUCGCUGGCGGCGUGCUUACACAUGCAAGUCGAGCGACCCGCUUUCUCGGAAGUUUUCGGACGGAAGAGGGAAUGACUGAGCGGCGGACGGGUGAGUAACGCGUGGGGAACCUGCCUCAUACAGGGGAAUAACAGAUGGAAGCGUCUGCUAAUGCCGCAUAAGCGCACACUGGGGCAUCACGGAGUGUGAAAAACUCCGGUGGUAUGAGAUGGCCCCGCGUCUGAUUAGGCAGGUGGCGGGGUAACGGCCCACCAAACCGACGAUCAGUAGCCGACCUGAGAGGGUGACCGGCCACAUUGGGACUGAGACACGGCCCAUACUCCUACGGGAGGCAGCAGUGGGGAAUAUUGCACAAUGGGGGAAACCCUGAUGCAGCGACGCCGCGUGGGUGACGAAGUAUUUCGGUAUGUAUAGCCCUAUCAGCAGGGAAGAAAAUGACAGUACCUGACUAAGAAGCCCCGGCUAACUACGUGCCAGCAGCCGCGGUAAUACGUACGGGGCAAGCGUUAUCCGGAUUUACUGGGUGUAAAGGGAGCGUAUGUGGCAUGGCAAGCCUGAAGUGAAAACCCGGGGCUUAACCCCGCGGAUUGCUUUUGGAACUGUCGGGCUGGAGUGCAGGAAGGGCCAGCGCAUUUCCUGGCGUAGCGGUGAAAUGCGUAAAUAUCAGGAGGAACGCCGGAGGGCAACGCGGUCUGUUGUACUGGAACUGACACUGAGGCUCGAAAGCGUGGGAAGCAAACAGGAUUACAUACCCCUGCAAGUCCACAGC
rnacentral:rRNA from 1 species